rnacentral:rRNA from 1 species
AUUGAACGCUGGCGGCAGGCUUAACACAUGCAAGUCGAGCGGAGAUGAGGUGCUUGCACCUUAUCUUAGCGGCGGACGGGUGAGUAAUGCUUAGGAAUCUGCCUAUUAGUGGGGGACAACAUUCCGAAAGGAAUGCUAAUACCGCAUACGUCCUACGGGAGAAAGCAGGGGAUCUUCGGACCUUGCGCUAAUAGAUGAGCCUAAGUCGGAUUAGCUAGUUGGUGGGGUAAAGGCCUACCAAGGCGACGAUCUGUAAUGGGUCUGAGAGGAUGAUCCGCCACACUGGGACUGAGACACGGCCCAGACUCCUACGGGAGGCAGCAGUGGGGAAUAUUGGACAAUGGGGGGAACCCUGAUCCAGCCAUGCCGCGUGUGUGAAGAAGGCCUUAUGGUUGUAAAGCACUUUAAGCGAGGAGGAGGCUACUGAGACUAAUACUCUUGGAUAGUGGACGUUACUCGCAGAAUAAGCACCGGCUAACUCUGUGCCAGCAGCCGCGGUAAGAC